rnacentral:rRNA from 1 species
AACGAACGCUGGCGGCAUGCCUAACACAUGCAAGUCGAACGAGACCUUCGGGUCUAGUGGCGCACGGGUGCGUAACGCGUGGGAACCUGCCCUUAGGUUCGGAAUAACUCAGAGAAAUUUGAGCUAAUACCGGAUGAUGUCUUCGGACCAAAGAUUUAUCGCCUUUAGAUGGGCCCGCGUUGGAUUAGCUAGUUGGUGGGGUAAAGGCCUACCAAGGCGACGAUCCAUAGCUGGUCUGAGAGGAUGAUCAGCCACACUGGGACUGAGACACGGCCCAGACUCCUACGGGAGGCAGCAGUGGGGAAUGUUGGACAAUGGGCGAAAGCCUGAUCCAGCAAGGCCGCGUGAGUGAUGAAGGCCUUAGGGUUGUAAAGCUCUUUUACCCGAGAUGAUAAUGACAGUAUCGGGAGAAUAAGCUCCGGCUAACUCCGU